GACGGAGGGGGCUAGCGUUGUUCGGAAUGACUGGGCGUAAAGGGCGCGUAGGCGGUUUUUUAAGUGAGGCGUGAAAGCCCUGGGCUUAACCCAGGAGGUGCGUUUCAUACUGGAAGACUUGAGUACGAGAGAGGAAAGCGGAAUUCCUAGUGUAGAGGUGAAAUUCGUAGAUAUCGAGAGGAACACCUGCGGCGAAGGCGGGUUGCUGGGCUGAUACUGACGCUGAGGCGCGAAAGCCAGGGGAGCGAACGGG
rnacentral:rRNA from 1 species